rnacentral:rRNA from 1 species
AUUGAACGCUGGCGGCAGGCCUAACACAUGCAAGUCGAACGAGUGGCGGACGGGUGAGUAAUGUCUGGGAAACUGCCUGAUGGAGGGGGAUAACUACUGGAAACGGUAGCUAAUACCGCAUACCAUCGGAUGUGCCCAGAUGGGAUUGGCUGGUGGGUGGGGUAACGGCUCACCAAGGCGGCGAUCCCUAGCUGGUCUGAUAGGAUGACCAGCCACACGGGAGCUGAGACACGGUCCAGACUCCUACGGGAGGGAGCAGUGGGGAAUAUUGGACAAUGGGCGCAAGCCUGAUGCAGCCAUGGCGCGGGUAAGAAGAAGGCCUUCGGGUUGUAAAGUACUUUCAGCGGGGAGGCGUUACCCGCAGAAGAAGCACCGGCUAACUCCGUGCCAGCAGCCGCGGUAAUAC